GACGGAGGGUGCGAGCGUUGUUCGGAAUCACUGGGCGUAAAGGGCGCGUAGGCGGUCGGGUGUGUCGGGUGUGAAAGCCCGGGGCUCAACCCCGGAACGGCAUCCGGGACAGCCCGGCUGGCGAUCGGGAGAGGAGGGUGGAAUACCCAGUGUAGAGGUGAAAUUCGUAGAUAUUGGGGGGAACACCGGUGGCGAAAGCGCCCCUCUGGUCCGGUUCUGACGCUGAGGCGCGAAAGCGGGGGGAGCAAACAGG
rnacentral:rRNA from 1 species